rnacentral:rRNA from 1 species
AUUGAACGCUGGCGGCAUGCCUUACACAUGCAAGUCGAACGGUAACAGGUCUUCGGAUGCUGACGAGUGGCGAACGGGUGAGUAAUACAUCGGAACGUGCCUAGUAGUGGGGGAUGACUACUCGAAAGAGUGGCUAAUACCGCAUGAGAUCUACGGAUGAAAGCAGGGGAUCGCAAGACCUUGUGCUACUAGAGCGGCCGAUGGCAGAUUAGGUAGUUGGUGGGAUAAAAGCUUACCAAGCCGACGAUCUGUAGCUGGUCUGAGAGGACGAUCAGCCACACUGGAACUGAGACACGGCCCAGACUCCUACGGGAGGCAGCAGUGGGGAAUUUUGGACAAUGGGCGCAAGCCUGAUCCAGCAAUGCCGCGUGCAGGAUGAAGGCCUUCGGGUUGUAAACUGCUUUUGUACGGAACGAAAAGCCCCGGGUUAAUACCCUGGGGUCAUGACGGUACCGUAAGAAUAAGCACCGGCUAACUACGUGCCAGCAGCCGCCGUAA